UGGGGAAUAUUGCGCAAUGGCCGAAAGGCUGACGCAGCGACGCCGCGUGGGGGAUGAAGCAUUUCGGUGUGUAAACCCCUGUUGCCCGGGACGAACAAGCGAUUUUGAUCGCUCUGACGGUACCGGGUGAGGAAGCACCGGCUAACUCCGUGCCAGCAGCCGCGGUAAUACGGAGGGUGCGAGCGUUGUCCGGAAUCACUGGGCGUAAAGGGCGCGUAGGCGGUCUGCUAAGCGUGUGGUGAAAGCUCGGGGCUCAACCCCGAGUCUGCCAUGCGAACUGGUGGACUAGAGCACUGUAGAGGCAGGUGGAAUUCCGGGUGUAGCGGUGGAAUGCGUAGAGAUCCGGAAGAACACCAGUGGCGAAGGCGGCCUGCUGGGCAGUAGCUGACGCUGAGGCGCGAUAGCGUGGGGAGCAAACA
rnacentral:rRNA from 1 species